UACAUUGAAAUUUCAAAUUUUCCACUUCGUUAACGUGUAAGAUUAGGUUAAGACAGUCGCAACGCCACCUGAAUUCAUUUAUAGGAAUAAAGAAAACUGUGACACUUGGCAUCUUUUAUAGAUAAUGUACAACAAAAGAAAAAUCUUAAUAAUUCUUUUAGUAAGAACAAUCUAAACGAAAAAGAAUCUAAAUAAUAAUAUGCCGAUUACACGAAUGUUCGAAAAGACCGGCAACGAAGGAGGUUGGCGACCAAAGGACGAACGAGGAAGCGGGUAGAAGGAACGACGAUUACUAGAAGGCCAGUAAAGGGUGAGGGAAGUCGGCCAUAUUGAGGAAGGGUGGACAUACGUAGUGAAAGAAAGAGGAGAGGAGGAGAGAGAGAAAGAGAGAGAGGCCACGAAAGGAGAGACCUUGCUCUUCGAGCAAGUUGCCACAGUGUCGAGAGUGAGCAGCACCAUCUUGUUAACAGUCGAGUUCUUUUUCCAUCGGCGUCGACUCCGAUAGGCCUACGGUGCCAUGGUGGGCGUUCUUCCUCGUCUUCCUAUUUUGUCCACUCGUCCAUGCUCCGCCUCGUGUGGUAACCUCGACUCUCCUGCACGUGAUCGCUACGCUACGCCGAGAGAUCUGAAAGGGUACCAACGACUCGCCGACCAGUUACCUACGUAACGACUUUGGCCACGUCCUUGCGCGCGAAGAGAUCUCGAUGGGCUACCACCUGUCCGCCCCGUAAUUUUGUUCACUCCUCGAUAUUCCUGAAGAGAAAGAAUGGAUACUGAUAAAGUUAUGUCAAGGUUAUGUUCCUAGAAUCAGGCAGCCGAACCUAUUCCACGUCGGCUUACCUCGAUUUCCAUAAUUUCGUUACGCCUCGACUCACCUUAAUCGCCGCGAUACAUUAAAGUAUCAUAUAUCAAAAAUUCGUCAUCCUUGGCGCCACGUUACCAUCACCGAUAUCCCAAUUAUGACGAUGAAGAGUAACGUUCGAACUCUAACCAGUCACGCGAUCAUCCAACGUCGAUCCAAUAUCCACACGGAUCCUCUUUCACGCUUUUAUCUCGAAAACGAUGGUUUCGAGGGACAGGUGCGACUAACCUUGAGAUAAGGUGUCCGACCAGCUGCAUUCGCCGCGAAUGUGGUCGUUAGAAGGAUCAGGCGACGAAACCGGAGGAAUAAGGGAAGAUACACAUCCAUUACCAUCAGCAUGCAAAUUAGAUCGAGGAUUACCGCAAAUCCUUUCGUAACAAUCCACCCGCUGCCGAAGAGAAAAAGGGAGGAGGAGAAAGGAGGAAGGAUGCUGUCGAGAGAUAAAGAUUCAAAAGAGAGAGAGGAACUCGACCGCAGACUCCUCGCCGAAACUUAAUUAUCGUCUGGCAUCAGUGUCGAGGGAUGCUUUACGAGUGGUACCAGAGGCUGCUCUUUUUUUAAAAUGGGAUAAAUAUUCGGCCCAACGUAAUUGGCAUGAAGAAGGAUCCGUAAAAGUUUUCCAUCGAUUAGAUUGAAAACGAUUUUCCAUGAUUUAUCUGAUGGACAAGUUUUCUUAAUUAUAUACAUUCAAUGUAAAACAUUUAAUGAAUAAUCCAUACAACUUGCAAUUAUUCAUUGGAUUGUGAUUGAAGCAUUUUUUUGUAUAUUUCAAGUUUUUGA